CCAAAUCCACAAAAUCCCUUGCCACAAAUCCAAAUACAUCACCAUUGUAAUCUAAUGCCUCCUCUCCAAGAUCCACUAAAUGAAAAUCACCCCAUACGACUAAGAGAAGAGAUAUCCGAGGGUGAUGAGGUCAGUUUUAAAGAUGGAGAGAAGCUUGAUGUGGAGGUACAAGAAAAAUGUGAAGAAAAGAAGGAAAGGGGAAGCAAAACCGCGGGUAGAAAAGAAAAAAAAUUGCUUGAUUGUGGAUCUUGUCCACAAGAUCCACAAAGAACCUUUGUCACUUCCUAACCCAAAAUCUAGCAUUUUUCCUAGCUUUGAUUCUUCUUAUGUGCAGAUACUAUAUUAAAUGAUUUGGGUGAGUGUGAUACCCUAAUAAAUGGAAUAAGUAGCUUCAGAUUAUUUCCUUAGCCACUUCACCCAUUUGAUCCUGGUGUACUAGUGAGGUGGGGAAGGGAUUGUUUUGGCUUGUGAUUAUUUUCUCUUGAUGUUUACCUUAGCCCUAUCCUUUGUGAUGCAUAUAAUAAUUAUUUCAUGGGGAAAACAAGGGAUUUCUUGUUGUAUGUCAAUUUGUACCCCCUUGGCAUGAUACUCUAGUGAAAGGGAUCUUAACCAUGGCCUAGACCCUUGCUUACUAUUUCCUUUUG
rnacentral:lncRNA from 1 species